ACAAUCACUGUUCAGUUGCUGUGGUUUUAUACUCCUUAGAUGAUCUGAAAAUCCCAUAGGCCUUCCAGGGCUACCCUGACACUUCCUCCGGGGAACAAGCUUUCGGGACCAUCUGAGGCUGACCUUUAGUUGGCCAAAGGGCACUAUUUCCUGUUCCUGGCCAGAGCAGUAGGGCCAAAAGAAUCAUGGUUUCCUGCUUCCUGAUGAAAGGACCAUGUGAAGUAUGGAGGGAACAGGUUCUGAUGAUGAAACCUGGGAGUCUGCACUGGAUAUGGGGCUGUACCAUGUUAGAUGGAGCCAAGAGCAUCAGACCUCUUCCACUGAGACACAAAAGGAUCCCACUGGAGUCUUCAACUAUACCACAAGAGGAGACAUGAUCGUCUGCUAGCAGCCUCAAGGAAGCUAUUUCCACAUGUUCACACAACUGGGUAUAGUGUGGAGCCUGUGUGCAUGGGAACUGAGGUUUGACUACUUUUCAAAGCUCUAAUCUGCCUUUUGGUCCACUUCAAGAGCCUUGGGUACAGAGCUCACACCUCUGACAGACAUGUGCUUAUGACACUGGACCAAACUCCGGAAGCAAUCAGUGUGCUUGAAGAUUGAAUCGCUGAAUGAAGAACGAACGAGGAAUGGAGUGUUGUCUUUAUGUUAAAAUGCUUUUGUGAUUUAAAAAAAGAUUAGUUUUAUAAUACAAUAGACAGAACUGAAGAGUUCCAUGUUAAGCAGACAAUCUUACAGACAGGCAGACUUGAGGGGGCCAGAAAGACAAAUGAAGAGUUGACAGAUACCUUGUUUGAAGAGGCUUGUUGUAAAGAUAAUAGCUACAGAGAUGGUAUAAUGCCUGAAAUUAAUCGGAGAAUGAGACUCUGAGAAGGCAAGCACAUCAAAUUCAUCUUAAUACUUGUUGGCAUGUAGACCUGACCUAACAGAGAACAGAAGAUAUGAAAUGUUUGUUGAUGGAGCAAAUUAAUUCCGAGAUUGACAUAUUAUGGCGUGAUGGGCAUAGCACAGUCAGAUAGAGUUUAUUUCAAAUCUUCCUUUCCU
rnacentral:lncRNA from 1 species